GGCGUCGAUAUUCGACGUCAUAAACACGAUCAACUUUGGUGUUUAUGACGUCGAUAUUCGACGUCAUAAACACGAUCAACUUUGGUGUUUAUGACGUCGAUAUUCGACGUCAUAAGCACGAUCAACUUUGGUGUUUAUGACGUCGAAUAUCGACGUCAAAAACACGAUCAACUUUGGUGUUUAUGACGUCGAUAUUCGACGUCAUAAACACGAUCAACUUUGGUGUUUAUGACGUCGAUAUUCGACGCC
rnacentral:miRNA from 1 species